rnacentral:rRNA from 1 species
UGGUGGAGCGAUUUGUCUGGUCAAUUCCGAUAACGAACGAGACUCUAGCCUACUAAAUAGUUCGGGGACCCCCACAAAGGGGCCCCGCUUCAACUUCUUAGAGGGCCAGGUGGCGUUUAGCCACACGAGAUUGAGCAAUAACA